rnacentral:rRNA from 1 species
GUAAAUAAUAAUUAAGAAAACAAAAAAUUAUGGCGGUACUUUAAACUUUUCAGAGGAAUUUGCUCUUUAAUGGAUAAAACACCAAAAUCUUACUAAAAUUAGUAAAAUCAGUUUGUAUACCACUAUAAAAAUAAUAAAUUAUUAUUAUUAUUAUAAUUUUAUAAUUUUAUAAAAAAAAAUUAAGUCAUGGUGCAGCAAAAUUUUAGGAUGAAGUGAAUUACAUUUCUUUUUAGAAAUAUAAAAUGAAAAGAUUUUGAGGAUUUGAAAGUAAAAUUUUAAUAUAAUGUAAAUUUGAAAUGAGUUCUGAAGUAUGUAC